GACGAACGCUGGCGGCGUGCUUAACACAUGCAAGUCGAACGGAAAGGCCCUGCUUUUGUGGGGUGCUCGAGUGGCGAACGGGUGAGUAACACGUGAGUAACCUGCCCUUGACUUUGGGAUAACUUCAGGAAACUGGGGCUAAUACCGGAUAGGAGCUCCUGCUGCAUGGUGGGGGUUGGAAAGUUUGGGCGGUUGGGGAUGGACUCGCGGGUUAUCAGCUUGUUGGUGGGGUAGUGGCUUACCAAGGCUUUGACGGGUAGCCGGCCUGAGAGUGUGACCGGCCACAUUGGGACUGAGAUACGGCACGGACUCCUACGGGAGGCAGCAGUGGGGAAUAUUGCACAAUGGGCGGAAGCCGGAUGCAGCAACGCCGCGUGCGGGAUGACGGCCUUCGGGUUGUAAACCGCUUUCGCCUGUGACGAAGCGUGAGUGACGGUAAUGGGUAAAGAAGCACCGGCUAACUACGUG
rnacentral:rRNA from 1 species